GUUGGCGAUGAACUGUUGCUGUUCGAUGCAGCGUAAGGAAAAAAUGAAAGCAUAUACAGAGCGAGCUGUGAAAUUCCGUCAUGAAUAUUUAUGAGGACGUGUGACCCGGGGCAGGAUGUAGACCGAGUGCUAUCCCAGCAUGCCCUGCUGUGAGGGAAGUUGAUCAGAUCAUCUCCAGCUUAUUGGCUUCAUUCUGUGUUCUCGUGUGAACAACAGAAGAGACCGUGUCUGGUGGGAAAGAGGAGGAUGAGCUGCAGAGAUGUGGACAAGGGCACAAGCAGGAGCGGAUGAGAUGUCCAGGACAGAGAGAGGCCGUAUAGCUUUCACUGUCAAGAGUCUGUUCUGAGGUGUUCAUGAUGAGCUUCUUCCAGGCCCGUUCUGACCUUCCCCAACAUGCACAUGGGCUUUUCUUUCCCUCCGCCCGCAGAUUGAUCAUGCAUGCUUCUCAGAGAUGUUUGAGGAAUGCUGAUCAGCGCUGGACGCUUUCUGAGGG